UUCAAGACUGUCAAAGCUUUUGCCUUUACUUUGGUAAUAUAGCUCUAUGAUUUUAAUUAAGGAUCAUAAAGCUAGAUUACCAAAGCAAAGAGCACUAGCA
rnacentral:pre_miRNA from 1 species